UCCCUGGUGGCUCAGAUGGUAAAGAAUCUGCCUGCAAGGUAGGAGACCCAGGUUCAACCCCGGGUUGGGGAA
rnacentral:tRNA from 1 species